GUAGCAGUUGAAAGAAAUUAUACAACAACUGAAAGAGAAGCAUUGGGAAUGAUUUAUUCCAUACAAAAGUUUUGACAUUAUCUAAAUUUGUUUUCUAUGUCAACUAUGAUGCUUUAAAAUAUAUGAUUAAUAAGCCUCAAUUGAGUGGUCAUAUUGCAUGAUAGAUUUUACUCUUGCAAGAAUUUGACUUUACUAUUCAGGUAAGACCAAGAAAAUUAUAUUUCAAUGAGGUGUUGUGAUUCGUGAAGUCUUGCUUGAGAAUGCUCUGUGUACCUGGCUGUGGAAGGAAGAAUGGAAAUUACAAUAAAAAAAUCUUAAUUCUUAUAGAAUACUAAAAAUGCUCUAAUUAGACCAUAAUAAUGCAAAGCAAGCUUAAUCAAAUUCAAAUAAACCUCAAAGAAAUUUCAAACAAAGAAUAAGAAUUUUUAAAGAAAUAUUACAAGGAUCACAAAUAUUACUCAAAUACAUCUCAAUUCAAUCUUAAUUUAAUUCUAGUUAAAAUCCUAUUGAACUUCAUUCAAACUUUAGGCCAAAACUAAUUGAAUCUUAAAUCCUAAUAAAAUCCUAAAUCCUAAAUCAAACCCUAAAUAAACUUUAAACCAAACCCUAACCAAAUCCUAAACCAAAUCCUCACCAAAUCCUAAACCAAAUCCUAAAUCCUAAAUCAAAUCCUAAUCAAAUCCUAAUCCAAAUCCUAAACCCUAAACCAAACCCUAACUAAAUCCUAAAUCCUAAACCCUAAAUCAAACUCUAAUCAAAUCCUAAUCAAAUCCUAAUCAAACCCUAAAUCCUAAAAUAAACCCUACUAAAUCCUAAAUCCUAAAUGAAUCCUAAUCAAACUCUAAACCAAAUCC
rnacentral:lncRNA from 1 species